CUCCCCCCCCCCCCCGCGCCUGCAGUUCUCACCAGAUACAGGGGCGCGUAGAUCUUUAGGGAUUCCUCCAUGGCGCUCUGCGUGAUCUGCAGGUUGAAAUGAAUCCACAAGAUGGAGAUUUCUUUUAAAAAAUCUACUCCUCCAUACCUUGGCCUUCUUUUCUUCAAAGUAUCCAGAAUGUCAUUUGUUGUUUUAUUGCUUGAUGGGAAAAUCCCCGUUCUCCCUGGUGCCCUGAUACCGUCACCUCUGGAAUGAUGUGGACAAAGAGAAAACGCAGUAAGGAAAAGGGAGGAUUGUAUAAACACACUCGAUAGGAAUGAAUGCCUGGAAUCCUCUGGGAUCAGGUCUGAUCGUAUGAGGCUGGAAUAUAGUAUUGUCAUCUUUAUGUGUUGUAGAGCUGGUGAUCUUACUAACACAUUUCUGGAUGUUGUCAUGAUUUUCAGACCGUCUUAGAUAUUUCACGACAGGACAGGCUAUAUGGUUUUAUUAAAAAGUAU